rnacentral:lncRNA from 1 species
CAGUUCUUCAAAAAGUGUUUCAAGUCAUAUUUCCGGGAAGAAAAAGGCCACAUUAUCCUACCCCUCUCCAGUUUGUGCCGCAAAACACCGACAGAUGGCGCUCUCUGUCACCUCAAUCUUCCAUUCUUCCCGAGAGAGUCUCACAGCACGCUGAUGUUUGAUUCACUAAAUACGUCUUUGGCUAAAAGGGAGCUGAAUGGAGUACAACCUUUUUAAAAAUCCUUGACUCUGCAGUUCUCAUGUCAUAUUAGGUGCAGGAAUGGUGUGGAUUUGCAUUUUCCGAGUAGUUCUGUGACUGCGGCUGCCCUCAGGUGAACACAGUAGGAAGCGAUUGAGGUGAGACCCCCUGCGGGCCCCCGCUGAUCUGACGGCAGCUUUCGUUCAGCUCUUUACUCCCGGAGCGAGGGUCUCCCCUGCAGUCAGCUUCACCCAGAGGGAAACCAGCGCCUUCAGAUCUCAAGCCAUGUGGGUGGAUGUCUUUGAUCACUGCGCUGCCUUAAUACAGAGGGCCGCUUACUCCACACAGCGCCAAAAAAAUCUCUUACCUGAACCGCACACACACACAGAUAUGAGCUUCACACACAUCGUAUUUACAUCCACUCCCUCAAUCAGACCCUUAAAUAGCUGUGCUCCAGGAUGUGCUGCUUAAAAGAACAGAGAAAAAGAAAGUACAGGAAAGAAAAACAAAGAAAAAAGAAUCACAAACGACCGCGGCUAACUGGACUAAUCCUCCAACCUUUAAUUAAAACCUUCUAAUGAUCUAUGAGAGAGAAAUAAGGAGGCUUGGGGAGAGAGAGGCAAAGCGAGAAAGGAGAAAAAGUCAUUUUCCAGCGCUGCAGUCUAUUUUCUACCUCCCUCCUCCCAGGCCUGCGUCUCGUCACCUCCAGACACACUUUUUCGAAGACAUUUGUUGAAGGAUUUACUGGACUCCGGAGGGGCCCUAAAUUUGCAAUGCAAUAACCAGGAGCAUAUGAAAGAGUAGCCUAUGCAGACACUUUUAAGAUCGUUUUAUUAUCCUGAUAAGAAGAUGGAGAAAAAAGGAAGAAAAGGAGGAGAAUUGGGGAAAUGGAGAAUAAGAUGAUGUACAGAGAGAGAGAAAGAAAGAGAGGGACCAACUUACAGUGGUAAAUUAAGAUCUCAGAGGAGAGAGGGGAAGUCGAGCAAAGUGAUGGAAAAUCCCUGAACAUUUUGCUUUUCCGCAGAUAGAUUGAAUCCACAUUCGUUUUGAUAAACAAGAACAAAACGUAUGAGCCACUUAUUGGGUACAACUGUGAAACUGCUUGACGCAAAUAUCCAAUUACAUUGCAGCACCUCAGUAUAGAUGUGGUCAAGAGGAUCAGCUGAAGUUUAAACUGAACACCAGAAUGGGGAAGAAAGGUCAUUUAAGUGACUAUGAAUGGGGUGAUAUUGUUGCUGCCAGAUGGAUUGAUCUAUUUUAGAAACUGCUGAUUAUCUGGGAUUUUCAUGCACAAUCUACACUGUAAAAAUAUGCAUAAUUAGAAGUUUUCCAUAUUUUGUGAUUCAUGUUUUAUUAUUAUUAUUUUUUUGUUGUUUUUGCUUUUGAAUUGUAUUAUGGGAUCUUAAUCUUUCUUUCAACAACUUUUAGGGCCCUAUCAUACACUCGGCACAAGGUGCAAGACAUGCAUGGCAUGAUUUGUUGAUAUUUUCAGCAACCCCAAUUGUCCCGUUUUGCACCACGUUGUUCAAAUAGCAAAUCCAUUUGCACCACUUUGUGGACUCAUAGGUGUUCCAGUCUAAAAAGAAGGCGUGUUAAGGCACAAUGUUGACGUGUUGCUAUUUUGAGGAACUGAAAUAGACUGGGCCAUUGAACAACUGAAAGCUGGUCAAAAGUCCAGUGCAGAGCGUGUUAGUUAUGCGCCUAUGUGGGAUCAAAAGAUGCAAACACAUUGCUUAGUAAACACAUGAUGUACAGCAAUGCACAAAUAUUUUUACAUCUGAAAGAAAUAUAAGAAAUAAAAUGUUACAAAAAUUAUUUUCUACAUAA